rnacentral:rRNA from 1 species
GAUGAACGCUGGCGGCGUGCCUAAUACAUGCAAGUCGAGCGAAUGGAUUAAGAGCUUGCUCUUAUGAAGUGAGCGGCGGACGGGUGAGUAACACGUGGGUAACCUGCCCAUAAGACUGGGAUAACUCCGGGAACCCGGGGCUAAUACCGGAUAAUAUUUUGAACUGCAUGGUUCAAAAUUGAAUGGCGGUUUCGUCUGUCACUUAUGGAUGGACCCGCGUCGCAUUAGCUAAUUGGUGAGGUAACGGCUCACCAAGGCAACGAAGCGUAGCCGACCUGAGAGGGUGAUCGGCCACACUGGGACUGAGACACGGCCCAGACUCCUACGGGAGGCAGCAGUAGGGAAUCUUCCGCGAUGGACGAAAGUCUGACGGAGCAACGCCGCGUGAGUGAUGAAGGCUUUCGGGUCGUAAAACUCUGUUGUUAGGGAAGAACAAGUGCUAGUUGAAUAAGCUGGCACCUUGACGGUACCUAACCAGAAAGCCACGGCUAACUACGUGCCAGCAGCCGCCGUAA